rnacentral:tRNA from 1 species
GCCCACAUAGCUCAGCAGGUAGAGCACUUCCAUGGUAAGGAAGAGGUCACCGGUUCAAUUCCGGUUGUGGGCUCCA